GCAGCAGGCGCGCAAAUUACCCACUCCCGGCACGGGGAGGUAGUGACGAAAAAUAACGAUACGGGACUCAUCCGAGGCCCCGUAAUCGGAAUGAGUACACUUUAAAACCUUUAACGAGUAUCCAUUGGAGGGCAAGUCUGGUGCCAGCAGCCGCGGUAAUUCCAGCUCCAAUAGCGUAUAUUAAAGUUGUUGCGGUUAAAAAGCUCGUAGUUGGAUUUGUGUCCCACGCUGUCGGUUCACCGUUCGUCGGUGUUUAACUGGCAUGCCUGUGCGGACGUCCUGCCGGUGGAUGCGGUCGGCCGUGGGCCUCUGGUCUGCGCGUCGGCGGUCCGAUUCAAUCCUACCGCGGUGCUCUUCACCGAGUGUCGAGGUGGGCCGGCACGUUUACUUUGAACAAAUUAGAGUGCUCAAAGCAGGCAGUGGUUCGCCUGAAUAUUGUGUGCAUGGAAUAAUGGAAUAGGACCUCGGUUCUAUUUUGUUGGUUUUCGGAACUUGAGGUAAUGAUUAAUAGGGACAGACGGGGGCAUUCGUAUUGCGACGUUAGAGGUGAAAUUCUUGGAUCGUCGCAAGACGAACCUAAGCGAAAGCAUUUGCCACGAGUGUUUUCAUUAAUCAAGAACGAAAGUUAGAGGUUCGAAGGCGAUCAGAUACCGCCCUAGUUCUAACCAUAAACGAUGCCAGCUAGCGAUCCGCCGAAGUUCCUCCGAUGACUCGGCGGGCAGCUUCCGGGAAACCAAAGCUUUUGGGUUCCGGGGGAAGUAUGGUUGCAAAGCUGAAACUUAAAGGAAUUGACGGAAGGGCACCACCAGGAGUGGAGCCUGCGGCUUAAUUUGACUCAACACGGGAAACCUCACCAGGCCCGGACACCGGAAGGAUUGACAGAUUGAGAGCUCUUUCUUGAUUCGGUGGGUGGUGGUGCAUGGCCGUUCUUAGUUGGUGGAGCGAUUUGUCUG
rnacentral:rRNA from 1 species